GUGGGGAAUAUUGGACAAUGGGCGAAAGCCUGAUCCAGCAAUGCCGCGUGAGUGAUGAAGGCCUUAGGGUUGUAAAGCUCUUUUACCCGGGAUGAUAAUGACAGUACCGGGAGAAUAAGCUCCGGCUAACUCCGUGCCAGCAGCCGCGGUAAUACGGAGGGAGCUAGCGUUGUUCGGAAUUACUGGGCGUAAAGCGCACGUAGGCGGCUUUGUAAGUUAGAGGUGAAAGCCUGGAGCUUAACUCCAGAACUGCCUUUAAGACUGCGUCGCUUGAAUCCAGGGGAGGUGAGUGGAAUUCCGAGUGUAGAGGUGAAAUUCGUAGAUAUUCGGAAGAACACCAGUGGCGAAGGCGGCUCACUGGACUGGUAUUGACGCUGAGGUGCGAAAGCGUGGGGAGCAAACAGGAUUAGAAACCCGAGUAGUCC
rnacentral:rRNA from 1 species